CAUGGCUGAAAGGAUUGAAAACAAAGAAAUCUGAGUUUUCAUAGCACAGGACCUCCUUCAGUUCUAUUUGAAUGAAGGGAGAGGAGUAAAGGAGCUAGUUUGGCUGGAAACGCCAGACGUAAUCGAUCCAGGUCUCGGGAGAGUCCAGGAUAGUCCUCCUCUCUGCAAGUGCUGGGCAGAGACACCUGCUCAACUGAUACCCACAGGAGAUUAUGGAAAUCGGCCUUCAUCACCUUCUGAAAUCUGGGCUUCUCUCAGAAUGUCCUGAAGGGUCUGCUCAGCUUGCCGCAUCCUGCCUUCCAGCUCCGUGCUGGGCACUGCUCCACCACCACCCUGAGCCCUUGAAACCAGGGCCUCCAGGCUCUGGAGCUGCUGCCUAAACUGGUCCAUCUGAAACCACAUAGGACAGAAGAUCAGAACAGAAGGUGGAGAUCACAGUCCAAUACCAGACGUUUUGAAAAUGGUGUACUUUCCAAUGACGGUGUGAAAAGCAGACACAAAUGGAGCUGUAUCUCAAGCCACCUAAACCGAAGCAAAGAAGAAACUGUAUUAAAGUUCUGUUAGCUGCUAAAGGUGGAGUUUGAAUGUAAUUACUUCAUAAAAUGUGAAUUUACAAACUAA